rnacentral:rRNA from 1 species
AUUGAACGCUGGCGGCAGGCCUAACACAUGCAAGUCGAGCGAGCGGCGGACGGGUGAGUAAUGUCUGGAAACUGCCUGACGGAGGGGGGUAACCACUGGAAACGGUAGCUAAUACCGCCUACAAUUAGGUGUGCCCCGAUGGGAUUAGCUAGUAGGUGGGGUAAAGGCUCACCUAGGCGACGAUCCCUAGCUGGUCUGAGAGGAUGACCAGCCACACUGGAACUGAGACACGGUCCAGACUCCUACGGGAGGCAGCAGUGGGGAAUAUUGCACAAUGGGCGCAAGCCUGAUGCAGCCAUGCCGCGUGUGUGAAGAAGGCCUUCGGGUUGUAAAGCACUUUCAGCGGGGAGGCGUUACCCGCAGAAGAAGCACCGGCUAACUCCGUGCCAGCAGCCGCGGUAAUUC